GACGAACGCUGGCGGCGUGCUUAACACAUGCAAGUCGAGCGAUGAAGUUUCUUCGGAAAUGGAUUAGCGGCGAACGGGUGAGGAACACGUGAAGAAUCUGCCCUCCACUUUGGGAUAACACCGGGAAACCGGUGCUAAUACCGAAUAUUGAAACAUAAGUGGCAUCACUGAGUUUUGAAAGAAUUUCGGUGGAGGAUGACUUCGCGGCCUAUCAACUAAUUGGUGAGGUAAUGGCUCACCAAGGCAACGACGGGUAGCCGGCCUGAGAGGGCGACCGGCCACACUGGGACUGAGACACGGCCCAGACCCCUACGGGAGGCAGCAGUGGGGAAUAUUGGGCAAUGGAGGAAACUCUGACCCAGCGACGCCGCGUGCGGGAUGAAGGCCUUCGGGUUGUAAACCGCUUUCAGUAGGGAAGAAGCGAAAGUGACGGUACCUACAAAAGAAGCACCGGCUAACUAUGUGCCAGCAGCCGCGGUAAUACAUAGGGUGCAAGCGUUGUCCGGAAUUAUUGGGCGUAAAGAGCUCGUAGGUCGUUUGUUACGUCGGAUGUGAAAACCUGAGGCUCAACCUCAGGCCUGCAUUCGAUACGGGCAAACUAGAGUUUGGUAGGGGAGACUGGAAUUCCUGGUGUAGCGGUGGAAUGCGCAGAUAUCAGGAGGAACACCAAUGGCGAAGGCAGGUCUCUGGGCCAUUACUGACACUGAGGAGCGAAAGCGUGGGGAGCGAACAGGAUUAGAUACCCUGGUAGUCCACGCCGUAAACGGUGGGCACUAGUUGUGGGAACCUUCCACGGUUUCUGCGACGCAGCUAACGCAUUAAGUGCCCCGCCUGGGGAGUACGAUCGCAAGAUUAAAACUCAAAGGAAUUGACGGG
rnacentral:rRNA from 1 species